rnacentral:lncRNA from 1 species
UCUCUUAAUUCCUCUCCCCCACUUGCCUCCAGCUCUCUGCAGACCCUUAGCAUGAGUCAUAGGAAAUCUGCAUAGCUGGGUUCAAAGACCAAUUUCCCCUCCUGCUUGUCUCUUCCUGUUAAAUAACUUGACAGAGAAAGGAGGCCAAGGAAGAGAAGGACAGAGGACUGUAUCUCCAAGGGAACGGGGCAGAAGGUCACUGACUCCUGUCACCUCAUCUCCCAUCACUUCGUGUCGUCAGAGCUGUGGCAUCACUGCCUGCGUGAUGCAGAAAGGACCUGGGACACUGUCCCAGGCAGUACUCCAGAGGACCCCCUGCAGGACAGACCCUUCCCCGGGACCAGCUGGAGCUGGGAACAACAAUGACCACAGAAGCUACCUCCCUGUUGACUGGGAGAUGGGCAGUGACAUGGGGUCCUGAGGCAGCUUCUCCUGGCAGAGCUGGAUGGAGCUGCGGUGUUUAUUUGGGUAGUGAGCUUCUAUUUAAUAUCAGUCUUUGUUUCUGGAAAUGAGACAGCUGGGGC